rnacentral:rRNA from 1 species
UGGCGGACGGGUGAGUAACGCGUGAGAAUCUGCCUAUAGGUUGGGGACAACAGAUGGAAACGUCUGCUAAUACCCAAUGUGCCGAGAGGUAAAAGCUUUAGUGCCUGUAGAUGAGCUCGCGUCCGAUUAGCUAGUUGGUUAGGUAAAAGCUGACCAAGGCGACGAUCGGUAGCUGGUCUGAGAGGAUGAUCAGCCACACUGGGACUGAGACACGGCCCAGACUCCUACGGGAGGCAGCAGUGGGGAAUUUUCCGUAAUGGGCGAAAGCCUGACGGAGCAAUACCGCGUGCGGGACGAAGGCUUUUGGGUCGUAAACCGCUUUUGUUAGGGAAGAAUAAAUGACGGUACCUAACGAAUCAGCAUCGGCUAACUCCGUGCCAGCAGCCGCGGUAAUACGGGGGAUGCAAGCGUUAAUCGGAAUUACUGGGCGUAAAGCGUGCGCAGGCGGUU